rnacentral:rRNA from 1 species
GAUGAACGCUGGCGGCGUGCCUAAUACAUGCAAGCCGAGCGAACAGACGAGGAGCUUGCUCCUCUGACGUUAGCGGCGGACGGGUGAGUAACACGUGGAUAACCUACCUAUAAGACUGGGAUAACUUCGGGAAACCGGAGCUAAUACCGGAUAAUAUAUUGAACCGCAUGGUUCAAUAGUGAAAGACGGUUUUGCUGUCACUUAUAGAUGGAUCCGCGCCGCAUUAGCUAGUUGGUAAGGUAACGGCUUACCAAGGCAACGAUGCGUAGCCGACCUGAGAGGGUGAUCGGCCACACUGGAACUGAGACACGGUCCAGACUCCUACGGGAGGCAGCAGUAGGGAAUCUUCCGCAAUGGGCGAAAGCUUGACGGAGCAACGCCGCGUGAGUGAUGAAGGUCUUCGGAUCGUAAAACUCUGUUAUUAGGGAAGAACAAAUGUGUAAGUAACUAUGCACGUCUUGACGGUACCUAAUCAGAAAGCCACGGCUAACUACG